rnacentral:rRNA from 1 species
AUUGAACGCUGGCGGCAUGCCUUACACAUGCAAGUCGAACGGCAGCACGGGGCAACCUGGUGGCGAGUGGCGAACGGGUGAGUAAUGCAUCGGAACGUACCUUUCAGUGGGGGAUAACGUAGCGAAAGUUACGCUAAUACCGCAUAUUCUGUGAGCAGGAAAGCAGGGGAUCGCAAGACCUUGCGCUGAUUGAGCGGCCGAUGUCAGAUUAGCUAGUGGGUGAGGUCAAGGAUCACCAAGGCGACGAUCUGUAGCGGGUCUGAGAGGAUGAUCCGCCACCCUGGAACUGAGACACGGUCCAGACUCCUACGGGAGGCAGCAGUGGGGAAUUUUGGACAAUGAGGGCAACCCUGAUCCAGCCAUUCCGCGGGAGUGAAGAGGGCCUUCGGGUUGUAAAGCUCUUGCGGCCGGGAAGAAAUCGCACGGGCUAAUACCCUGUGUGGAUGACGGUACCGGAAUAAGAAGCACCGGCUAACUACGUGCCAGCCGCCGCCGUAAAAC